CCGCAAUCAAUUCCCUUGACCAUGGGCGGCCCACUACCAGGCGGUUACAAACAUCGCCAUCAAUCCGUUGCCUCCUCCGUCUAUAAAAGGGGGAUCCAGAUACGUUAUUCUCUAAGCUCAUUCUUCCUUAUCUCAAAACUCUGCUAAAUUCUCCGUUCGAGCACUCCAUUCUUAUUGAGGCAGAAAACUAACUUGAGCGUCGGA
rnacentral:lncRNA from 1 species